CUCGCAAGUGGGCGGCGACCGCGCGUUACACACGGAAAGAGGCCUCUGCGGCGCCGAGGACGCCUCGCGAGAGACGGCCCCUGGCUUCCAGGCGGGGAAGUGUGAUGGGGCCAAGGUCCUGGGGGCGGAAGGACAGAGCCGUCGUGGCCUCCCUCUCUGCAGAGUGGCAGGGUCACCCCUCCUCGGUGCUACACUCGGCAGACGCGCGCUAAGGGUCCGCUUCCUUGGCCGGGAAAGGCCUUCCGGCGCCUUUCGCGCGAUAGGAAAACAAGGCUGAGAAGCUAAUGAGUACUUUGCAAAGCUAACAACAGUUCCUUCUUUGAGACUUAACAGAGUUUUGAGAAAUGAUCAAGGCCAAAUGACUUGAAGCCGACCUUGGUCACCAGCCAAGUCCACUGGAGCUCUACAAAGUGAAAGAAUGCAAAAGACUUUGCAGAAGAGUCGGUUCUACUCCAGAGCAAAUAAAAAUCUUGCAGGGUCCUGAGCUAAUAGUGAAAGUGAGAACAGAAACUAGACGAGACCUUGGCGAGAUCUUGUACCAGAGUCAUAGACACGGACACCUUGUAGCUCACUUUUUCUCUCCUGCUUUUCACCUCCCACUUCCACUCCCUCAAUCCCUCCUUUAAAAACCCCUCAGUAAAUCCAAAUCUCUGAGAUGGAAUAGCCUACCAUCUCCUUCAGCUGAAUACAUCUGCUUUUCUAACACCAA